rnacentral:rRNA from 1 species
GGUGAACGCUAGCGGCAGGCUUAAUACAUGCAAGUCGAGGGGGCAGCAAUGUCACCGGCGAACGGGUGCGUAACACGUAUGCAACCUACCUAUAUCAGGGGGAUAGCCCGAGGAAACUCGGAUUAAUACCGCAUAACAUUAGGAUCGGCAUCGAUUCUGAUUGAAAGAUUUAUUGGAUAUAGAUGGGCAUGCGUAGGAUUAGCUAGUUGGUAAGGUAACGGCUUACCAAGGCUACGAUCCUUAGGGGCUCUGAGCGGAGUAUCCCCCACACUGGCACUGGGAUACGGGCCAGACUCCUACGGGGGGCAGCAGUAGGGAAUAUUGGGCAAUGGGCGAAAGCCUGACCCAGCCAUGCCGCGUGCAGGAAGACGGCCCUCUGGGUUGUAAACUGCUUUUGAAGGGGAAGAAAGGUAUGCUUGCGAGCGUAAUUGACGGUACCAUUAGAAUAAGCCACGGCUAACUACGUGCCAGCAGCCGCCGUAA